rnacentral:rRNA from 1 species
AUGGAUCACACCGGGGAGCACCUCGACCCCGCAGCCUCGGCGUCCGCGUCCGCGCCCGCAUCCGUCGCCGAUGUCAACGCGUGGCUGGCUUCCCUGGCAGCGGAGGGCGGCGGAGUGGGAGGGCGCGGCGGUGGGGCGGUGGUCUCCGAGCUAACGCUGGGGCCCGACCCCACGCCGCGCGGGGUAUCCUAUCUCCGCGCGCUCGCGGCGGCGUCGCAGGCGCGGUCCCACGCAGCCGGGAUCGCUGCUUCGGGGCUGCGCGCGCAGGCCGCGGAGUAUCAGGCGGAGGCAGCGCGCUUGCGGGAAGCGCUGGAGCGGGCCGGCCUUGCGCGGGACGCGCUCCCUGCGCCUGCUGCGUCGGCCGCGCGCGCCGUCGCCGCUGUCGCGAACCUCCUGGCCAUCCGCGACACCGAGAUGAGCAGCUUUGUGGUGGCCAGUGCAGAUUUAUGGCUGAGGAGAGCAGAGGUGGAGGAGAAGAGGGACAAAGUGCAUAAAGAGUCAAAGGCACUUCUUGAUUACACAAGGAAGGCCAUCACCAAGCUUACUGAGCUCAAGAGGAUGCUGGAGAAAUUUAAAAAUGAUGUGGAGAAGCAACAAGUGGAGCAAAUGGCAGACUGGCAGACAAAAUUGGUCAUGAUGGACUCGAAGGAGCGGCAAUAUAUCCUCCAAGUCUCAAAUUACAAGGCAAUGCUCAACAGAGUUGGAUACACGCCAGAAAUUAAUCAUUGUGUGUUGAUGGAAAUGGCGGAGCAUAAGAAGGAUCUUGAGAGGAAAACUAAACCCAUUGCCGACACAUUGCGUAGCUACCAGGAUUUGCCUCCAGAUAAAGCUCUCGCUGCGUUAGCUAUAGAGGACAAAAAGAGGCAGUAUGCAGCUGCAGAGAAGUACCUUGAAGAUGUGUUGCAAUCUGCUUUAACAACACCUGGUCUAUGA